ACCCGAUAAAAAGAACCAGCACCCAUUACUCAAAGCUAUUCUUCUCAAGCCCUAACCUCUCUCCAAACACAUAAUCUCUUAACAUCUCCUUAGCGUAGAGAGCCAUGUCUGAUAGAGAGGAGCAUCACUUUGAGUCCAAGACAGACGUCGAAGCUUCCAAAACUUAUCCUCAGCAAGCCAGUACCAUCCAUAAGAACGGUUACAUUGUCAUCAAGGGCAAACCUUGCAAGAGAUCGUGAUAGUUACCUGCUUCUUUAUCAUCCUCAUCAUCCUACCCCACCGGCUGGUCUUCCUCACUCUGCUUUUCAAAACCCUAAGAUUCAUCAGGGCCAAGAUCUUAAUUUGUCAUAUCCACUUGGUGAUCAGGAUUGCACCAGCAUAUCUAAAUAUGUAGAGUUACCUUUUAAUACUGACAACAAAACCCACCCUUAAAACCCUAGCUCAUCCUCUAAUACUUCAAACCAACUCUCAGCCAUGGAACUGCUCAAGAUUGGGAUCACUUCAAGAGGAUUUAGUUCUUUCACGCCCAUAAUGGUAUCAAAAUCAAGCACGAUAUAUUCAAGUACUGGGUUUUCUUGCAAGAGUUCAAGCCAAGUACUUUGAAUUUUUCUCUCAAGGGGUUUGAAAGUGGCUAUGGGAAGAAUACUCUUCAUUAAGGGGUGCAGGAGAGUGGUAUUGGUGUGAGGCUUUUGUUUCCUAUUGAGGAUUUGAAAUAGAUCCCAACAACAAGAAUAAUUCUAAUAGUUAUUUGAAUGGAAUGAUGGGAAGAGGAUCAUGAUAAAUAAGGGCCAGAAGAUCAGAAAUAUUGGAUGAACAAUUGAGGAGUUGGUGUUUCAAUUUGUUUUCUUCCAUUCCAUGGGUGACUUGUUUUUAAUUUUAAUUUUUUUUGGAGUUAAUCAAAACCAAGAUUAUAGUGUACUACAUGGGUUUCUUUCUUUUUCUCUUAUUAUUAUUAUUAUUACUAUUAUUAUUAUUUGAAUCAAUUUCCCCCUUUCUUUUCUUUGUCCUCUGUACUUAAUUAUAUCUCGUCUUUCUUUGCUCUAAGAUCGAUGUCAUAGUUAUUGACAAUUUUUAACCUGAUCCGAAUAGAUCGAGUCAGGUCAGGUUAGUUUCAUCUUGUCUUAGCUGGGGUUGGGUGAGGUUCGACCCAAAAAAAGUCUUGGGCUGGCAGGGUUGUAGGCCUAUUGUUGAUAGCCCAAACAAUGUAGCCGAUAGUCCUCUACUGCAGGAUAUCUCUCUGUUUAGUUGUUGAAAAAAAAAAAAAAAUUAUUUUCUAUUUAGUUGUUGAGAGGGAAGAUCGCAAAUCUGUCUGGUUGUUGAUAAAAGAAAAGAAAAUAGAAGGAAUAUGAAAGAAAGAGAGAUCGAGACACGUCAACUGUUUGGUGCCAAUAAGGGAAGGAAAUGGUGACGACGUCAGUUGUUUCUUGAGGUUGAGGAUGGCACUAGGUAUUUGCUGAGGAUGGCAACCUGGGUUUGCAACAGAAGAGGAAGAAAAAGGGAGAAUGACGCGGAGAGAGAAAAAAAUA